rnacentral:rRNA from 1 species
AUUGAACGCUGGCGGAAUGCUUUACACAUGCAAGCCGAACGGCAGCACGGACUUCGGUCUGGUGGCGAGUGGCGAACGGGUGAGUAACAUAUCGGAACGUAUCCAAUAAUGGGGGAUAACGAGUCGAAAGAUUCGCUAAUACCGCAUACGCCCUACGGGGGAAAGCUGGGGACCUUCGGGCCUGGCGUUAAUGGAGCGGCCGAUAUCUGAUUAGCUAGUUGGUGAGGUAAAGGCUCACCUAGGCGACGAUCAGUAGCUGGUCUGAGAGGACGACCAGCCAAACUGGAACUGAGACACGGUCCAGACUCCUACGGGAGGCAGCAGUGGGGAAUUUUGGACAAUGGGCGCAAGCCUGAUCCAGCCAUUCCGCGUGAGUGAAGAAGGCCUUCGGGUUGUAAAGCUCUUUCGCAAGGGAAGAAAACUUAGCCACUAACAUUGGUUGAGGUUGACGGUACCUUGAUAAGAAGCACCGGCUAGCUACGUGCCAGCCGCCGCCGUAA